rnacentral:rRNA from 1 species
GUGAAACCGCGGAUGGAUCAAAAAAUCACACCUAAUAUACUGGAUAGUAAUCAGUUACUUGGAUAACUGCGGUAAUUCUGGAGCUAAUACAUGCAUGAAAACCCUGAAUGCUGCAAGGCGUGAAGGGUGCUUUUAUUAGAUCAAAACCAAACGACAGGCAACUGUCGUGCGUUGGUGAUUCUGAAUAACUUUGGGCUGAUCGCAUGGCUCAAUGCCGGCGACGUAUCCAUCUAAGGUGUGCCCUAUCAACUGUCGACUGUGGCAUAGACGCCCACAGUGGUUUUGACGGGUAACGGGGAAUCAGGGUUCGAUUCCGGAGAGGGAGCCUGAGAAAUGGCUACCACUUCUAAGGAAGGCAGCAGGCGCGCAAAUCACCCAAUCGCCGAGUGUUUACCUUUUCCCGAAAAAUAAGGGAUCCCAGUCUCUUUGAGGCCGGGUAAUCGGAAUGGGCACACUUUAAUUCCUUUAACGAGGAACAAUUCGAGGGCAAGUCUGGCGCCAGCAGCCGCGGUAUUUCCAGCUCCAAUAGCGUAUAUUAAUGUUGUUGUGGUUAAAAAGCUCAUAGUUGAAUUUUGGCGUGUGAAGGAUAGUUCAUUUUGUGACAUAUGGCUGUAUUUUCCCCUAAAUAUUUUGAUGGAUGUUUGGAGGUGCUCUUUACCCAGAGUCCUCGGAUGCCAACCGGUUUACUUUGAAAAAAUUAGAGUGCCCAAAGCAGGCUUGAUACGCUUGAAUAUUUGUGCAUGGAAAAAUAGAAUAGGACGUCGUUUCUAUUUUGUUGGUUUUCGGAAAUCGACGUAAUGAUUAACAGGGACAGUCGGGGGCAUUAGUAUUCCGACGUCAGAGGUGGAAUUCUUGGACCGUCUGAAGGCUAACAACUGCGAAAGCAUUUGCCAAGAAUGUUUUCAUUAAUCAAGAACGAAAAUUUGAGGUUCGAAGGCAAUCCGAUACCGCUGUAGUUCUAAUUAUAAACGAUGCCAGCUAGCGAUCUGCAGGUGUUUAUUUUAAAAGACUCUGCGGGAAGCUUCCCGGAAACCAAAGCUUUUGGGUUCCAGGGGGAGUAUGGUUGCAAACCUGAACAUAAAGGAAUUGGCGGAAGGCACCACCAGGACUGGAGCCUGCGGCUUAAUUUGACUCAACACGGGAAAUCUCACCAGGUCCGGACACCAGAAGGAUUGACAGAUUCAUAGCUCUUUCUUGAUUUGGUGGAUAGUGGUGCAUGGCCGUUCUUAGUUGGUGGAGUGAUUUGUCUGGUUAAUUCCGAUAACGAACGAGACUCUGGCCUACUAAUAGUUGAAACAUCUCACACUAUGUUUCAAAUUCUUCUUAGAGGAACUGGCAGCGUUUAGCUGCACGAGAUAGAGCAAUAACAGGUCUGUGAUGCCCUUAGAUGUUCUGGGCCGCACGCGCGCUACACUGAAGGGAUCAGCGUGUUUUCCUUUUCCGAGAGGAACGGGUAAUCCGCUUAACCCCCUUCGUGGUAGGGAUCGGGGCUUGCAAUUAUUCCCCGUGAACCAGGAAUUCCCAGUAAGUGCACGUCAUCAGCGUGCAUUGAUUACGUCCCUGCCCUUUGUACACACCGCCCGUCGCUACUACCGAUUGGAUGUUUU